UCAUCUCGCUUUCGAAAACUGCUUUCUCUGCUGUGGGAUUGUUAGCACUUGUUUCCAGGUGAUAGUCCCUGAUAAACCAACUUUAUAAACUUAACAAUAUUUUUUGUCAUUCAAUUGGUUAUAAAUUCUACACCGGAAAAGAUGAAAACCGUUCUGUGCAUUCUCUUGGUUCUAACCAUCUUCAUCGCUACUUCUGAAGCUGGCCUUUGUAAUUGGAUAUGCAGAAAAGUAUGCAGCACUGCGAAUCACUGUGAGACACUUUGCACCCUGCUGUGCACAGAUCCCGUUUCAGUGAAAACUUAUCGCUUCCCGGGUGCUUAAAGUAGGAGUGAUGAAGUCAAUUCAUUCGUAAUUGUCUGUCGUAAAAAAAUAUUUAAACACAAAAUUUACCGAAACUUUGAAUAUGUAUUGUACAGUGAUCAACAGUAAUUCAACACAACUUUGUAAUUAAUAAAGGAGUUUCUUUUGAGAAGACGUAA